GACGAACGCUGGCGGCGUGCUUAACACAUGCAAGUCGAACGAUGAACCCGGAGCUUGCUCCGGCGGAUUAGUGGCGAACGGGUGAGUAACACGUGAGUAACCUGCCCUUGACUCUGGGAUAACUGCUAGAAAUGGUAGCUAAUACCGGAUACGACCCUCGGUGGCAUCACCAGGGGGUGGAAAGAAUUUCGGUCAAGGAUGGACUCGCGGCCUAGCAGCUAGUUGGUGAGGUAACGGCCCACCAAGGCGACGACGGGUAGCCGGCCUGAGAGGGUGACCGGCCACACUGGGACUGAGACACGGCCCAGACUCCUACGGGAGGCAGCAGUGGGGAAUAUUGCACAAUGGGCGCAAGCCUGAUGCAGCAACGCCGCGUGAGGGAUGACGGCCUUCGGGUUGUAAACCUCUUUUAGUAGGGAAGAAGCGAAAGUGACGGUACCUGCAGAAAAAGCACCGGCUAACUACGUGCCAGCCGCCGCAGUAA
rnacentral:rRNA from 1 species